CCAGCGAUUAGGUCGGGAACUCAAAGGAGACUGCCAGUGAUAAACUGGAGGAAGGUGGGGAUGACGUCAAGUCAUCAUGGCCCUUACGACCAGGGCUACACACGUGCUACAAUGGCGCAUACAAAGAGAAGCGACCUCGCGAGAGCAAGCGGACCUCAUAAAGUGCGUCGUAGUCCGGAUUGGAGUCUGCAACUCGACUCCAUGAAGUCGGAAUCGCUAGUAAUCGUGGAUCAGAAUGCCACGGUGAAUACGUUCCCGGGCCUUGUACACACCGCCCGUCACACCAUGGGAGUGGGUUGCAAAAGAAGUAGGUAGCUUAACCUUCGGGAGGGCGCUUACCACUUUGUGAUUCAUGACUGGGGUGAAGUCGUAACAAGGUAACCGUAGGGGAACCUGCGGUUGGAUCACCUCCUUACCUUAAAGAAGC
rnacentral:rRNA from 2 species